rnacentral:rRNA from 1 species
GAGUUCAUGCCCUUACGGGUAGAUCUCCCACCCUAUGUUAUCAUUACUUUGUUGCUUUGGCGGGCCGUCAGGCUCACGCCCGGCUACCGGCUUCGGCUGGUAAGCGCCCGCCAGAGGACCCAAAACCCUGAAUAUUAGUGUCGUCUGAGUACUAUAUAAUAGUUAAAACUUUCAACAACGGAUCUCUUGGUUCUGGCAUCGAUGAAGAACGCAGCGAAAUGCGAUAAGUAAUGUGAAUUGCAGAAUUCAGUGAAUCAUCGAAUCUUUGAACGCACAUUGCGCCCCUUGGUAUUCCGGGGGGCAUGCCUGUUCGAGCGUCAUUACAACCCUCAAGCCUAGCUUGGUAUUGGGCCUCGCCACUAACCUGGCGGGCCUUAAAAUUAGUGGCGGUGCCGUCGUGGCCCUGAGCGUAGUAAAUAUCCUCGCUAUAGGGACCCGGCGGUUACUGGCCAGCAACCCCCAACUUUUCUAAGUUUGACCUCGGAUCAGGUAGGGAUACCCGCUGAACUUAAGCAUAUC